GGGGCGCUAGAGAGUCGGGAAGUAAACCGGACAAAUCCGGUGAAAACUGAAACUAGCAAGAUUCUCAAGGUCCCCACCCACUCUCCUCCUGGGCUUCAAAAGCAGUCUAACUGCGGGGUGAGAAAGAACAGCGGUUGGCUAGGAUUCCCACAGAGAGCAGUUCCGUUGCAGUUUUCCUGAAUCCCCCACCUUGUUGAGUCCUACAGAGGCUGGUCCUUAAGAAAAAAAACAACUGAAUUUCAAUUCGACUCAGGAAGUGCUGCGCUUCCAGCUUGACCACUGCCGCGGGCGCGAGUGCCGUGCAGCGCUGAGAUCAUCACAAGGUUGCUGGGGGAAAAACUGGCAGAAAGUUCCAGACUCUCUGAUCUAUUUGAAUGGCUGAGAUGGGAGGUGACAUCCCGAGACCUCUGGCUCUGUGAAGAACUCAUGAAGUCUCAGGUUACAGUGUGAGCCUGCCAGGAAAACAGCAGCCCGCCAGAGGAGCCCAGGCCGGAGGGGCGAGCGCGGCGGGUUGCCGGCGACGACCAUGGCCACCCUCGGCUGCACACCUAAGGAUGACGGUGAGGGGAAGGAUGAGGGAGGGAGUGAUCGAGGUGAUAGCGACUCAAAGCCUAAAGGCAAGAAAGAAGUGGAGCCCCAUACAAGACGGGAAGCGGACGAGCGGGCCGUGCGCAUCCCCAUCCCGGAAGUGCUCCAGCAGCGGCUGGCGGACGACUGUUACUACAUCAACCGCAGGCGGCGGUUGGUGAGGCUGCCUUGCCAGACCAACGUGGGCGCCAUCCUUGAGUGCUACGUGCGCCACUUCUCGGCGAGCGCGCUGGCCUUGGGGGACCGCCGGCCGCAGCCCCAGCGCGCGGCGCCCGAGAGGAGCGUGGGCCUGUGCCGGGAGAUGGCGGACGGGCUGCGCAUCACCUUCGAUCACGCGCUCCCCUUGGUGCUGCUCUACCCUCAGGAACAGGCUCAGUAUGAAAUGGUCACCUCCUCCACCUUUUUCUUCCCCACUGAGGAGCGAGCCAGCGAUGCUGGCAGGAGCCAGGAGGCGCCCUGGCCGGGCCCGUCGCCCCCGCAGCCCUCGGAGAGCCAGGCCGUGGCGGGGCCAGCUGCCCCCAAGAGGCGCAGGGCAGAGGCCGAGGCAACGCGGGCUCCCAGGCGAUCCACCCGCCACAGCACCCACUGCCACUGGCAGGCUGAGGACCGGGCCUCUCCCCAGACCAAACGCAGUGUGCCCAAGCUGUUCCCGCACUUGCAAAAGACACCUGUGCACAGCGCAGCAUCGUCCCCCAUCGCUCUGACUCCUGGCAAGGAAGGGAGUGCCAUGUUUGCUGGCUUUGAAGGGACAACUGAGGAAAUAAAUGAGAUCCUCUCCUGGAAGCUUGUGCCAGACAACUACCCUCCAGGACAUCAACCGCCUCCUCCCUCCUACAUUUAUGGCGCGCAGCAUUUACUGCGACUCUUUGUAAAACUUCCAGAAAUUCUUGGAAAGAUGUCCUUCUCUGAGAAGAAUCUGAAGGCACUACUUAAGCACUUGGAUCUCUUUCUAAGGUUCUUAGCAGAAUACCAGGCUGACUUCUUCCUGGAGUCAGCUUAUGUCUCUGCCUGUGAGGCGCACUAUAGCAGCAAGAACCCCAGGGCCCUGUGUUAAAAGUUUUAAUGUCUCUGUAAGCAUAGCUGCUCCACCUGGUUUUGUGUUCUGUGUUCUAGGUUGGCCCACCUUGGGGGAGAGGGGACAGGCUUGGGUAUUUGAGUUCCUCACAUAUUGCAGUUAUUUUUGUUAACAACCAAUUACUUCCUUGCUUUGUUUUGUUGCCUUGCCUGUAGGGAGGUAAAGUUGCUUAAUUAGUUAAUUUAUAAAAAUACAUGCCAUUGCACAGGCUGUGUGUGAUAGCAGGAAGCAGCCUCUCCUAUGUUCAGAGGGAAUAUUCGAAACUAUGCAUAGGUUCUGCUGUUCUGGUAGACAUCACAAAGGCUGUUAACAAGAAUUAUGGUGUUUAGUUUUCUUAGCAUCAAGCAAAAUGUUUUUGAAGACUCUUCUAAUGUGAUGAGAUUGGAGGACUCUGUUCAGCAUAUAUGAGUUCAUAUUUGGACACAUGGCAAUCUGAAAUAACUUCUGGGGAAAACAAACAUUGACAGCAAAAGAGAAUUUCUAGCUCUAUAAUUUGUAAAAUUCCCUUUCUGUGAAACAUUUUCUUUGGUUAUCUAAAUAAAGCAUUUUUGUCUCACAAAAUUA